AUGUCUAUGCAAUUUCAAGAUGAUGCAGAUGGUAUACCUCCUUCUGAGGCUGAAAGUAGGAAUGAAAGGCCCCAAAGGAUAAAGCACCCUUCAGCCAAGAUGCUAGCCCAUCUAAUAGAUGAAAAGGAGCUCCUCCAUGUGAGGUUAGGUUCGGCAUGGGAGCGAAUUGUAACAUUAAUGGACAGAAUUGAGAGCUUGGGUAUUACAAGGGUGCCAUCCAUAUUACAGACAGACCUUGAAGAGACCUUCGGUAUUUGGAGGGGUUUGGUGUCUAAGAUAGUCCAGGUCCUCGAGCGCAUUAACGCCAAGGAUUCAGAGUUAGAAAUAGUGAGUGUCUUAGCUGACACUAAUGGGAAAGAAAAUAAGGUGAGGGCAAUUCUAGAUGCCUUGGAAUUUAGUUCUCCAUCUGUUAAUCUAAGGUCUGAGCCAAAAGGAAAUCAGUCUUCCUUAUGCAGCCAUGAGACCAAUCUUUUAAAAUCACCUGCUGUGGCACUUAGUCUUAAGUCCAACCGCUCUAGCCAGGUAUCUAAGCUAAGGGAGUGUGCAUCAUCUAAACAUAGCCACUCUAGCAAGUCUUCUGCUGCUGGGAGUGCCAUCUCUUCCCUAGCUGCCUUGCACAUUAAGGAGGCCGCACGUCUAGAGCUAAAGAGCAAGGUAGCGGGGGCGGAGGCUGAUGCUAAGGCAGCUGAUCUCACCCUUCCCUUUAAAGAAGAAGAGCAACGACUGCAAAUAGAACAGGCCCGUAGACAAAGCGAAAUGCAAAUAGAACAGGCCCGUAGACAAAGCGAAAUGCAAAUAGAACAGGCCCGUAGACAAAGCGAAAUGCAAAUGGAACAGGCCCAAAGGCAAGGUGAAAUAGAAAUGCUUAGAAUAAGGAUGGAUGCUACUGCCAAAAAGGUAAGGGCUGAGACUUUGGCCAAGGCCCUAAUUGAGCCACUCACAGAAGAAAAUGUAAGUCAGUUGCCGAAGCAGGACCCUUCUUCCAAGGUGCUUGUGCAUCUUAAUAGCUUAAACAGCCAGUUUUCGGAUGAGGAACAGGAAGACUUCUCUCCUUACCCAGAGCAGGGCCCCAAAGUCACUUUUGAGUUUCCUGCAGAGCAGAGCGUCAUAGCGGGGAGCUCACCCUUGCCCGAGCUACCUGUGCCUCCUGCUAAAGCCCUAGGUCAGUCAAUCAGGGCCUCAAGGCCAAGUGCUAGUUGGCCCUUACAGACAGCUGCACAGGGAGCCACCGAUUCGUCAGUGGUCGAUGUCAUCCCUCCAAGAGGCCAAAGGUUGACGCAAGGUGCACGGUGGGAGUCCACUCCACAACAGCAAACUCCUCAAUUGUUCCCUUCGACGCCAGAGUCCCAGCUUGUCUCCAUCAUCAGAAGCCCCAGAAGAGAUCUUAAGGACAAGGGUGUCGAAAAGUUUUCGGACAAGCCUGAGGAAUUUCUUCUCUGGAAGGCCACCUUCCAGAGAGCAAUCAGAGACUUAAAGUUAUUGCCUGAGGAAGAACUGACUCUUCUGGCUGCAUGGUUGAGCCCAGCCUCAUCCUCACAAGUUAAGAAGAUCUACGCAGCCCACGUAGCCGAUCCCGACAAAGCCCUGGAAAAGGCCUGGGCCAGGUUGCAGCAGAGGUAUGGGGCCAGCACAGAGAUUGAAGCAUCUCUUAUGGACAAGCUCCAAAGGUUCCCAGCUUUGAAACUCAAAGACUUCAAACUCUUGUGGGACCUCAGCGAUCUCCUUACGGAAUUAGAGUCGGCCAAGGAGAAUCCAGAACUGCCCGGUUUGAAGUGCCUCGAUCAGCACCUGUCCCAGAGGCAGAUCUUGACCAAGCUGCCCUUCACUUUGCAAGAACGCUGGGGACAGGAGGUCUUCAACUACAAGGAGGCCCACUCCCAGGCAUACCCUCCAUUUUCUCAUUUGGUCCAGUUCAUCACCAGGGCGGCCAGAGAAAGGAAUGAUCCGCAGACGGGCCUCCCCACCUUAUACCAAGGGACCCAGCCAGAGAAGGCACCUAAAGUGGAGAAAAAACCAUCCAGAGAGGCCAAAAGACCGGUUAGUGUUAAGGCUGUUGAAACUCAGCACAGGGCCAACGAAUCCAAGUCAGAGGUGAAGGAGGUGCUCUGCCCCAUUCACCAAAAGCCUCACAGUUUGGCCAACUGCCGGGAAUUUGGCAAGAAGCCUUAUAAAGAAAGACAACAGAUUGUACAGAAGCUGGGCAUAUGUUUUAGGUGCUGUGGAGCAACUCCUCACUUUGCAUCCAACUGCAAAGAGGACGUCAAAUGCGCAAGGUGUAACAGCCUUAAGCAUUGCACCGCGAUGCACAACUCUGACGCUGUCUCCCGCGCCAAAGGGGACACGUCUUCCAAAGAAGGGUCAUCUACUGAAGCCACCAACAUGCAGACCGCGUCACGGAUGCAGGAGGAUGCUCCAUCGGUCGCCUGUACUGAACUAUGCUCUGACGUGCACCAGUUCAGAGUCUGCCAUCCCAUCUGCCUAGCAGAUGUAUAUCCAGCCAGAAGACCUUGGCUUAAAAAGAGACUUUACGUGGCUUUGGAUUCACAAAGCGACGCCUCCCUGGCGACUCCAGAGUUUUUCCAACUGUUUGACAUAAAAACCCAGACGGUCGACUACACCAUGUCCACCUGUGUAGGGAAGAAGAAGUUGCAGGGUCGCAUAGCAUCCGGCUUUGUUGUCUCCUCUUGUGACCAGAAGAGACUGUUCGAGUUACCAGACCUCAUUGAGUGUUCCUCUAUUCCCCGGAACAAAAGGCAGAUUGUCACCAGAGAAGUCGUGGAAGCCCAUCCUCACUUGCGAAAGCUGAAGAACGCCUUACCUGCUUUCCGUCCAGAUGUGGACAUUGCCCUUCUGCUUGGUGCGGACUGUCCGAACUUGUUCUAUGUGAACGACCAAGUUAAGGGACGUCCAGGGGCGCCCAUUGCUCAGCUGCUACCACUAGGCUGGACAGUUACAGGCCCGGUGUGCAUAAAUAGGAUGCACCCUCCAUCGUCGGUGGGCACUCGUCAAGCGCACGUGCUUCAAGGCAGUCGCCCCACACUAAUGCAUAGCUGUUUGAGUCAUAUCUCGGUCUAUUGUCAGGGGAUAACACCAGAGUAUUCUUCCGUCUUUGAAGUCUCCGAAAGGGAUGAAACUACAGCGCUUUCCAAAGAUGAACAGAGGUUUUUAGAGAUCAUGAACUCUCAAGUUUCCCGGAGUCCCGAGGGAAAUUGGAUAGCCCCUCUGCCUUUUAAAGCAGAAAAACCCACUUUGCCAAACAACAGGCAUGUGACAGAAAAAAGACUCUGGUCACUGAAGAAGAUAGGAUGGGAUCAAGAGCUGACCCCAUCGGUGAAAGCAGCUUGGGCAAAUUGGACUUCUCAAGCUGAAGGACUGGAAACCAUCACAGUUCCCAGACAAUUUGCGCCCUGUAAGGUAAUGAUAGAACCCACCACAGAACUUCACAUCUUCUGUGACGCAUCUGAGCGAGCUAUAGCAGCUGUGGCAUACAUGCGACAAAAGGACAGAGAUUUUUGUCACGCAGGAUUCAUCAUGGCAAAGGCUAAAAUAGCUCCUAUGGGAACUUCAAUACCCCGGCUGGAAUUGUGUGCAGCAGUUCUUGCUGUCCAGCUCUGGCGCAUCAUCCAGCAAGAGAUAGGAGACUUGUUUCAAGAUGUCCAUUUCCACACGGACAGUACAGUUGUGCUUGGUUACAUCAACAACACAACCAAAAGAUUCAAGGUGUAUGUGGCUAAUAGAAUCAACAACAUUCUAUCCAGUUCUACGCCUAGCCAGUGGCACCACGUCGCCACCAGCAACAACCCAGCUGACAUCGCUUCCAGAGGAGCUUCAACUCAACGAGUGUUAAGUUCAAGUUGGCUGACAGGCCCCAGAUGCUUGACCGAAGUCAAUUUUCCAUCAGCCUUUUCUCCCACCGAUAAUACAGAAUUGCCCGAGUCCGUUCCAGAGGUGAAAGUUUGCAAGAUGACCACAGAAAUCAAGAUGGGCCAAAGAUCUUGCCUGGAACCACACCGUUUUGAAUGUUUUUCGGAGUGGCACAGUCUUCUUAGAGCAGUUGCUAGGCUUAUACAUCGUUUAGCUUGCAAAGAUAGUGAGCCUUUACAGGUCCAGGAUAUGAUAAAGGCUAAGAGCGUCAUAUUCAAGUCAGUACAGAGAUCUGCUUUCAAGCAGGAAAUAGCUAGGCUAGAGCAAGGGCUCAACAUCCCUAAUCAAAGUCUUCUAAAUGAGUUAAACCCAUUUCUAGACAAGGAGGGUAUUUUGAGAGUUGGAGGAAGGUUAGCCAAAGCUAAACUCAAGGCGUGCAUAAAAAACCCCAUCAUCAUACCCCCUAAUAGUCACACUGCAUUGCUGCUCGUUCGGCAUCACCAUGAAAGGAUCCAUCAUCAGGGUAGAACUCUAACUGAGGCAGCCCUUAGAAAUGAAGGUCUGUGGGUAGUUAAUGCCAAAAGGUUGGUCAACAGUUGUAUUUUCAAAUGUGUCAAAUGUCGGCGACUCAGACGAAACUGUCAAAGUCAGUUGAUGGCAGAACUACCUCAGGAUAGGACUUUGACAGACCCACCCUUUUCCCAUGUGGGAAUCGAUGUGUUUGGUCCUUGGGAGGUUGUUACCAGAAAAACCAGGGGUGGUGUUGUAAAUAACAAGAGGUGGGCAGUUUUGUUUACUUGUUUAGUAAUACGAGCUGUCCAUAUAGAAGUCAUAGAAGGGAUGGACACUUCAUCAUUUUUAAACGCAUUAAAAAGGUUCAUAGCCCUCAGAGGGCCAAUUAAGUCAACUCGGUCGGACUGUGGCACCAAUUUUGUAGGUGCGACCAAAGAACUCAAUUGUGUGUCUAGGUUUGGGAGAGACCCAAAGGUUCAGAACUUUACGAAUACUGAACAAAUUAUGUGGACUUUCAAUGUUCCUCACGCCUCCCACAUGGGUGGUGUUUGGGAGAGGAUGAUUGGUAUUAGUCGCAAAAUCCUUAAUGCCAUGCUUUUGAGUCAUAGGUCAUUGACGCAUGAUGUUUUGGUGACACUUAUGGCGGAAGUUACCGCAAUUAUCAACAACCGGCCGCUGGUUCCCCUUACCAGUGACCCUGAGAACUUACAACCACUGACUCCUGCACUUAUUUUGACACAAAAGGUGCCAGGAUGGAAGGACAUCAUGUUGCCAGUUCCGGACGGAACUCACCGUGCCCUGUGGAAACAGGUGCAGUCCUUGGCCAACCACUUUUGGAAAAGGUGGAAAGCUGAGUACUUAAGCCAGCUUCAAGCUAGAAGAAUCUGGCAAACCCCAAAGGACAAUGCCAAGGUGGGAAACCUUGUGUUGCCAAAGGACAAAGACUUGCCCCGCUAUGCCUGGCCUAUGGGCAUUAUACUAAAGACCUUUCCUUGCCCUGACGGUAAGGUUAGAAAAGUUCAAGUAAAGACUCAUAGUAAGGACAAAAUGUCUGUCCUGGACAGACCAAUUAGUGACCUCGUGUUGCUUAUUGGAGAUGUUUAA
ensembl:lncRNA